rnacentral:lncRNA from 1 species
UUCACGCGCAGAAGACAGUGCAAUGAAACGGCAGAUUGUCUACAUGAUUAUCGUCCUCGCAAGCAGGCUGUUAAGUAUCGUGAAAUGUUCAAGCUGUGAAGACGACAACCAGAAACGUGUUUACUGCACUAAAAGUGGGGUGGUACGGCAAAAAAUGUGCCUCGGUGUCGCGCCUUUCUCGUGCAGCACCGGGUCUUGGCCGUGCGCGUGCAAAGAAGACCUGUACAGGAGUUCAGAUGGAGUAUGCGUCCAAAAAAGAAAGUGUGAUCCAAUGUAUAGGACGCCGAAGCCGAGAACUACAAAGUUCCCGCGUGGAACUUAUAUUCCAGGAGGAGCCGU